rnacentral:rRNA from 1 species
CUACGUAGGGUGCAAGCGUUAAUCGGAAUUACUGGGCGUAAAGCGUGCGCAGGCGGUUUUGUAAGACAGAGGUGAAAUCCCCGGGCUCAACCUGGGAAAUGCCUUUGUGACUGCAAGGCUAGAGUACGGCAGAGGGGGAUGGAAUUCCGCGUGUAGCAGUGAAAUGCGUAGAUAUGCGGAGGAACGCCGAUGGCGAAGGCAAUCCCCUGGGCCUGUACUGACGCUCAUGCACGAAAGCGUGGGGAGCAAACAGGGUUAGAUACCCUGGUAGUCCACGCCCUAAACGAUGUCAACUGGUUGUUGGGUCUUCAUUGACUCAGUAACGAAGCUAACGCGUGAAGUUGACCGCCUGGGGAGUACGGCCGCAAGGUUGAAACUCAAAUGAAUUGACGGGG